UCCAACAGACUGUCCUGUGGGCAUGGCAGUUAGGCAUUUACUUGAUAGCUAAUGGAUGUUGGAGAACCUAGUCCAUUAUGGGCAAUACCAUUCCUAGGCAGAUAGGCUUGGGGGUAUAUAAAAAAGCAUGCUGAGUAUGCCAGAAGAAAUAAACCAGCAUGUGAUAUUCUUCAGUGACCCCUGCUUAAGUUUCUGCCUCCAGAUUCCUGCCUUGAGCUCCUGCCCCAGCAUAUUAGAAAUGACAAGACCAUUGGAUGACCACCAAAGACAGCAAUAGCUCGUACACGGUACGCCUGUGACACUUCUCGGCCAGCAGCAGCUGCUCCAGCAUGCGGCGGUAAGUCUCCUUCUGCUUUUCCUCCAGUCUGUCCAGCUGAGUGAGCAAAACCAGGAAAGAGCUUAACGUCCGACUUCAUCUGCAGCGACUGUACAUUGUGACACUGGCCUAGGGGCAUAUGACCUCACUGAGAUGUGCCACCAUCUUCUGGGAUUUUUUCAAUGCCAACGGGCUUUACAAACUAACCGUAAUAACCCUAA